rnacentral:rRNA from 1 species
UACGGAGGAUGCAAGCGUUAUCCGGAAUGAUUGGGCGUAAAGCGUCCGCAGGUGGCUAUGUAAGUCUGCUGUUAAAGAGUGAGGCUCAACCUCAUAAGAGCAGUGGAAACUACAUGGCUAGAGUGCGUUCGGGGCAGAGGGAAUUCCUGGUGUAGCGGUGAAAUGCGUAGAGAUCAGGAAGAACACCGGUGGCGAAGGCGGCAUUCUGGACCGACAUUGACGCUGAGGCGCGAAAGCCAGGGGAGCAAACGGG